CGCGGGGUGGAGCAGCUCGGUAGCUCGCUGGGCUCAUAACCCAGAGGUCUCAGGUUCAAAUCCUGACCCCGCUACUA
rnacentral:tRNA from 2 species